AUCCUGGUGCUUGCACCGGGUGAUCAGUGGCGAACGGGUGAGUAACACGUGAGCAACCUGCCCCUGACUCUGGGAUAACUCCGAGAAAUCGGUGCUAAUACCGGAUACGAGACGCACAGGCAUCUGUAGCGUCUGGAAAGAACUUCGGUCAGGGAUGGGCUCGCGGCCUAUCAGCUUGUUGGUGGGGUAACGGCCCACCAAGGCGACGACGGGUAGCCGGCCUGAGAGGGCGACCGGCCACACUGGGACUGAGACACGGCCCAGACUCCUACGGGAGGCAGCAGUGGGGAAUAUUGCACAAUGGGCGAAAGCCUGAUGCAGCGACGCCGCGUGGGGGAUGAAGGCCUUCGGGUUGUAAACCCCUUUCAGCAGGGAAGAAGCGAAAGUGACGGUACCUGCAGAAGAAGCGCCGGCUAACUACGUGCCAGCAGCCGCGGUAAUACGUAGGGCGCAAGCGUUGUCCGGAAUUAUUGGGCGUAAAGAGCUCGUAGGCGGUCUGUCGCGUCUGCUGUGAAAACCCGAGGCUCAACCUCGGGCCUGCAGUGGGUACGGGCAGACUAGAGUGCGGUAGGGGAGACUGGAAUUCCUGGUGUAGCGGUGGAAUGCGCAGAUAUCAGGAGGAACACCGAUGGCGAAGGCAGGUCUCUGGGCCGCAACUGACGCUGAGGAGCGAAAGCAUGGGGAGCGAACAGGAUUAGAUACCCUGGUAGUCCAUGCCGUAAACGUUGGGCACUAGGUGUGGGGCUCAUUCCACGAG
rnacentral:rRNA from 1 species